GGAGGGCACGCAUAUCCAGAUUAGUGACCCAGAAAGCACUCCUUUCAUUUCCUCCAGUUUUGCCUGACAAAAACAGACUAGGCCAUCUAGUUUCUCAACUGUAUUUUAUAUGGAUAAACGUACUACCGAGGCAUCUUUAGCAGAACAAUAGGCUACUGGCUAGAUGUCUUUAGAUAUCUGUGACAACGCACUCCCUUCAAUAUUAUGGAAUGAAGAUGUGACAUUCUGGCAAAUGAAUGACAGUAUUUGUGAGGAAGCAAAGGGCUAGCCAGAUGGCAACGAGUAGCCCUCCAAAGUGAGUGUGCUGUGCAGACAGACCAUGAUUUCCAGGCAAUCCUGCAACCAUCGCUGCAUACAGGACAAUGACCCAACACACCUCCAGGCUGUGUAAGGGCUAUUUGACCAAGAAAGAGAGUGAUGGAGUGCUGCAUCAGAUGACCUGUACUCCACAAUCACACAACCUCAACCAAUUGAGAUGGUUUGGGAUGAGUUGGACCGCAGAGUGAAGGAAAAGAAGCCAACUAGUGCUCAGCAUAUGCGGGAACUCCUUCAAGACUGUUGAAAAAGGAAAGCAUUCUAGGCGAAGUUGGUUGAGAGAAUGCCAAGUGCAAAGCUGUCAAGGUGGCUACUUUGAAGAAUCUCAAAUAUAAAAUAUAUUUUGAUUUGUUUAACACUUUUUUGCUUACUACAUGAUUCCAUAUGUGUUAUUUCAUAGUUGUGAUGUCUUCACUAUUAUUCUACAUUGUAGAAAAUAGUACAAAUAAAGAAAAACCCUUGAAUAAG